AGUGAACGCUGGCGGUAGGCCUAACACAUGCAAGUCGAACGGCAGCACGGUAAGAGCUUGCUCUUACGGGUGGCGAGUGGCGGACGGGUGAGGAAUACAUCGGAAUCUACUUUUUCGUGGGGGAUAACGUAGGGAAACUUACGCUAAUACCGCAUACGACCUACGGGUGAAAGCAGGGGAUCUUCGGACCUUGCGCGAGUGAAUGAGCCGAUGUCGGAUUAGCUAGUUGGCGGGGUAAAGGCCCACCAAGGCGACGAUCCGUAGCUGGUCUGAGAGGAUGAUCAGCCACACUGGAACUGAGACACGGUCCAGACUCCUACGGGAGGCAGCAGUGGGGAAUAUUGGACAAUGGGCGCAAGCCUGAUCCAGCCAUACCGCGUGGGUGAAGAAGGCCUUCGGGUUGUAAAGCCCUUUUGUUGGGAAAGAAAAGCAGCAGGUUAAUACCCCGCUGUUCUGACGGUACCCAAAGAAUAAGCACCGGCUAACUUCGUG
rnacentral:rRNA from 1 species